GAUUAUGGCUCAGGACGAACGCUGGCGGCGUGCUUAACACAUGCAAGUCGAGCGAUGAAGCUCUUCGGAAGUGGAUUAGCGGCGGACGGGUGAGUAACACGUGGGUAACCUGCCUCAUAGAGGGGAAUAGCCUUCCGAAAGGAAGAUUAAUACCGCAUAAGAUCGUAAUAUCGCAUGAUAUAGCAAUUAAAGGAGUAAUCCGCUAUGAGAUGGACCCGCGUCGCAUUAGCUAGUUGGUGAGGUAACGGCUCACCAAGGCGACGAUGCGUAGCCGACCUGAGAGGGUGAUCGGCCACAUUGGGACUGAGACACGGCCCAGACUCCUACGGGAGGCAGCAGUGGGGAAUAUUGCACAAUGGGGGAAACCCUGAUGCAAGCAACGCCGCGUGAGUGAUGACGGUCUUCGGAUUGUAAAGCUCUGUCUUCAGGGACGAUAAUGACGGUACCUGAGGAGGAAGCCACGGCUAACUACGUGCCAGCCGCGGC
rnacentral:rRNA from 1 species